rnacentral:rRNA from 1 species
GGUUAAGCGACUAAGCGUACACGGCGGAUGCCCUGGCAGUCAGAGGCGAUGAAGGACGUGCUAAUCUGCGAAAAGCGUCGGUAAGGUGAUAUGAACCGUUAUAACCGGCGAUG